GCCCGUUUAGCGCAGUGGUAGCGCAGCAGACUUCGAAUCUGAAGGUCGUGGGUUCGACCCCCGCAAUGGGCU